AUGACAGAUAGCAGUCUCGCAGAUCCUCCGCAGAAAUGGAGACGUAGAUCCUCCUAUCGCACAUCAACUUCUCUGGCUAAGACCAUAAAUUUGCUCAGUGGUCCUCCAAAUGUGUAGUUCCAAAACGACAAAUGGACUAUACACAGUAUCAGCCGCAUGGCUAGUCAGUUUAUCACCUACCUCGUCGCAUCGAUGACUUUGAUCAUGACAGCACUGGUCGCUAAGGAGGUAGAAAUGACCAUUUAUAAUCGUGUGCAAAUGAAAUGUCGUCGCGGCAAGCCGAGCAGGCAUUCCUAACAUUCGAGACUAAAAUUCUUGACAUAAGAGUGCGGAACUGCUACGCAACAUAUAUAGACAUGGAUAGAUAGGGCUCGAGAUAUGGCGCAAUGUAUAGCCUUCGAAAACCUCGGACGAUCCGUGAGUCAAAGAAUCCCUGGUCAAGACAAAGCAUAAAUACUAGCUAUCUAGCGCGCACCUGUCACAUCGAUCAAGAUGCUUCUUGAUGUAGGCUCAAAUGAAUAGGAAUAGGCUAUAUUAAACGCGAGGGCCUGUUCCGCUUGCUGCGACGAUAGCGCCGACGGUGUGGUGCUAUCUCGUAUGAAACAACGGUGCUUUAGAUUAAUAUCGUCAAAAUGGAUCACGACAAAGGACUCCUGCAACGUGACCAUUGAAACGUGACCAUUGGAAGAGCCCUGUGCAAAGCUUUUACUACACGCUUACAACUCCGGCAUCUGCGAGGGCGAGAGGGAGCAGUCAAUGUUCAUCACUUCACCGUCUCAUUAAACAGAAGCAAGAAAUUGGAGCGAACACAGUCCAAAAGCUUGCUUGAGCCCUCACGGCCAGAGUACAGACCCGGCGCACCUCAUUUUGUAGCAACGAAUGCCAUUGAUGACAAUUCGUGACUUUUUGUCUUGGGUCAAAACAGUUUAUUUCUCUAGUAGGUAGAAUCAAAUGUCGAUGCAAGGACAUCAUGUGCGAGAGAAAAUUACCUGUCCUUGCCAGCGCCAGUGACAUGCGCAAUAACAAUCGCGCGGCUCUCGAUGACGCAUCGGCGUGUUUGUUUUGACAUCACUGGUGCAGACGUCGUUCCGCCGUGUCUUGGCGUGCUCUGCCCAGCAGAGACGACAUGACGCCAUACAUAUUACCAGGCAGUACACGGUCUAGAAUGGUUCCGCGUGGUGAUAUGGACGUCUGUUCCGCUCUUGGCAGUGUUGCCACUCCGCUCGCCGGCAUCGACGGGCUGGGCGAGACAGAGUCGAUGGAGCAUCCGACCGAGCACGAUUCUAUAGGACUAUGCGCUUCAUUCUCCUUGGGAAACUGGCAGAUACCUGGAAAAUUAACAUCUCAGGGUUUGCACUACCUUGAUUCCUAUCGAAGUGUCGCGGCUCGAACGUUCGGCGGCUAG
rnacentral:sRNA from 1 species